AACGUAGGUUCCGAGCGUUAUCCGGAUUUACUGGGCGUAAAGCGCGUUCAGGCGGUUUGGCAAGUCGGGCAUGAAAUCUCUCGGCUCAACCGGGAGAGGUUGUCCGAUACUUCCAGACUUGAGGGCAGUAGAGGGUGGUGGAAUUCCGGGUGUAGUGGUGAAAUGCGUAGAUAUCCGGAGGAACACCAGUGGCGAAGGCGACACGCUGGGCCAUACCUGACGCUAAAGCGCGACAGCAUGGGGAGCAAACGGG
rnacentral:rRNA from 1 species